rfam:Myotis davidii contig161340, whole genome shotgun sequence.
GCCAUUAUUGUUCAUUGGUUAGAACAUUGGUCUUUGAACCAAAGGGUCAUGGGUUCAAUUCCUGGUCAAUGGUA